CUGAAGUCAUGUACAGAGCCUUCACAAUUAAUAUUGGAAACUGUCUAACAAGUUGUACAAUUUGGUUUAAUGGGAUGUCUGAUGAGUAACACAUGGUUGUUUGUCAACUAAAAAUAUGUUGAAGACCUUUCAGCAAACCAGGGGAGACAUCUCUUGUGUCACAUCUCACAAACAGCUGCGCCCUGCCCUGGGUACACAUAAUUGCUGAAACUGAUUGGGGAGGGCUGGAAGCGUUGAUGCUGUCGUAUUAAUUUGCUCCAUAAAUCAACACAUGAACUUGACAGCCCUUUAAAAUCUUUAUCAUCGUGCAUUUAUCUUUUCUGUUCUGAAGGAGCUGUAUCUGACUUCGAUCCAAAGCAACUUAUAUUCAUUAAACAAAUAUUUAUUGAGCAUUGACAGGUGAUGAAGAUUAGUAUUGGCAGGGUCUGGGACCGUCUUCAAGAAGCUCACAGUUUCACGGGGAAAUAGACAUAUAAGCAAAAAAUUGCAACUUAGUGUGAUCAGGGCGGUGAUAGGCAUCGAGGUAGUGUUGCUGCAAAGAUUCAUUCAUUCUUCAUUCAUUCAUUUAUUCAUUCCACAAAGACUAAGACCUGCUAAGAUAGAGGUGUGGCCUCUGCAGACACAGGACACAGUGCCUACUUCAGAGAGCUCAGUCUAGGAGCAAGAAACAGACAUACAAAUGGAUUAUAAACAAAUAUAAGCUAUCGCAAUCUGUAGCGGGUAUGGUGGGGCAGGCCAGAGCAGGGAAAGGUCAUCUCAUGUCGGGGAAUCAGGGAAGACUUAAUAGGUGAAGUGGUGCUUGAGGUAAGUCUUGAAAGAUGGGCAAGUGUUUAUAUCCUGGGUGGGUGAGGAAAAAAAAUCAGUGAUGGGAGUGGCAUGUGCAAAGGCCCUUUUUUGUGGGGGUGGGCAGUGCAGAGAGAACAGAUUGUUCAGGACCAGGAAGUAGUGUGGCAUGGACUGAGCAUGGUGUGAGGCGGCUGUGGUGAGAGGGGCGGCCAGAGGAUCAAGUGCAGGUCACAUCAUGAACGGUCUUAAACGCCCAGCCAGGGAGCCUAAUGUUUUCCCCACACCUCAUUCACAGUCAAGUCCCAGCCUUGUUCUUCCUUCCUCGCAUGAUAUGGGAACAUAUAUGUAUAUGUAUAAGUGAUUCACUUUGUUAUAAAGCAGAAACUAAUACACCAUUGUAAAGCAAUUAUACUCCAAUAAAGAUGUUAAAAAAUAAUAAUAACAAUGAUGUUUCUAUAACCAAGGUUUAGAAAUGUGAUUUCUGAGACUCCCUAGCUCUGUCCCUUUAAUUUCUUCCCUAUUAAGGAAACUAAAAUAAAUUAUCUAUAAAGAUUGUGUAAAAAAAAAAAAAAAAGAAAUGUCAGCUCUGAUUGUUUAUGUGAUGUAAAACACAGUGCAAAGUCUCAGGCUUGAGAAUACCAUGCAUGUGAAAUAGGAAGCUUUGGAUUAAGUUUGGUUGCCUGUUUAUGAGGUUUUUGGCUUGCUUAUCUGUUCACUUUUUUAACAGACCCCACCUUAGAACUAGAGAAUCAAUCUGAAUAUUAACAAGACCUUCCCUCCUCCCCCCACCAGGUGAUUCAAUGCUGAAUUAACUAUGAGGAGUGUUGGUCCCCCAAAAGAGCCAGGAAAUCAGGAGAGCGUUGUUUUAUGGAAACCAAGUCAGGAGAGUUUCAGUAGGAGGAGAAACCAGCAGCAUCAGACGAGGGAAGCAGUCACAGAAUCAGGACCAAAGCUCAUCAGCCUUGGCAUUGAGAAGGUUUAUUGGUGCGCUCCCGUCUAAUUGACUAUCAAGGUGAGGAGACAGAGACACAGAGCGAUUGAUGGACUUGCCCAAGGUCACCACAGCAAGUGAAGGGGAAAACAGAGAGGAGAAGCUGAGGCACGGAGGGAAGAAGCGGCUUGAUCCAGGAGCCACAACAGGUCAUUGCCGGAGGCUGGGCUGUGAAGGGGUCCAAGGUCAAGUGAGAGAGACCCACCAUGGACAUACCAGAGAUACCAGUUGCCAUGGAAUGGCUGACCUGCACAAACGCAUCCCAGGAACCCUGAUGACCUCAUUGCUUCUUGGGCCCAGAGCUGAUUCCUAUAAUAAAGAACCUCCACAUCCCUCUGAAUUUCUUCACAGUAAGCAGUUUUAUAACAAACCAGGCCCUGGUUUCGGCAUACGCUGGGCCAGGUGAGGUGAGGCUCUCCUGUGGACUUGUUCUGGGGAAUCAUCGUGUUGAAAUCACACCCUCAGAUGGCUACUGUGAGUCAGCCCUCAAUUUAAAGAAACCCAUCAGGAGUAUAACAGCAAAGUUGGUGUGGUUCAGACUUUGACGUCUCCUUUUUCACCAAGACUUUUUGGCAGAACGUGGGAGGAAAUCGAGCCCCCAGGGAGUUGCCCUGGAAAUUAGAUUCAAGAGACAUGUUCAAACCAAUUUUCAGUCUAUAAUUUAUAUGAAGAAGCUGCUCUUCCCAGGAACAAGGAGGCUCUUGUUGCCCCACCAGGGCUUUGACUUUCUGCGCUGAAUAACCAGGAACCCACUUUCCGGGUGUGCCUGGAUAAGAACAUUGGGUAAUGGAUGGUGUCAAGGAUGUUUCACAACAGCCGCUCAGGUGGCCUGUGAACCAAACCACCCACUUACUGGCGAUGCUGUUUAUGGACCAGUUUGCUAAUGUCUCUCAGAUCCAGUGACCCUCCGCCUGGAUGUUGCAGAUUUUUUAAGAAAAGCCAGUGGGUUCCCAGGCAAAGAUAAAAAGGGAAGAUGCCGCCCCCUGCUGACCCACCCUCCCUUGUCUGGAGAACUAUCUGUAUGUACUGCGUAUUA